UCACCGGAGGAGAAACGACAUCGUACCACCACCUUCACAUCCUAUCGGAUUUCUAAACCCAUCACAGCCAAUGGCUUCAUUGCCGGCAGUUAUUUUUCCGGUGACACGUCAUUGAACCGCUGCUCACACCCUCAGGUUCCUCUAACCAUGACAUUGUAAAGGAUAUUCUGGGUGAUGUUGGAACAUUCACAGUUGAAUGAGAGACUUUGGCAGUGUAAUCUUCAGGAAAAUGGUGUAAAUCUCGGGCAUAUGACGACUAAAUCAGCAAAUAACAAUCAAAGCAUCAAUGACAUAAGUGAUUUAUUCAUGAUAGCACGUUGGAUUCAUUAUUCAAAGAUGCUUUUCAAGUUGAUUUUCACAGCAUGUGUGGUUCAAGUGAAAAAGUUAAAGAAAGAAGAAAAUCUAUCAAGGUUUCUUCAAAUCAACAAAACAGAUCCAAGAUACAUCAUAAUUGCUGGAAAGGGCACUACAUCUACUGUGUUAACUUGGUUCAGUUACAUGCUUCAGAAUAAGUCUGCAACAGAAAUCAAAGAAACAACAAAAACGAGAAACAAUCUCACAAAUGUUGUAAAAUUAGCAAACGGUGUGAGUGAAGAAAGCCUCAAAGUCAAAAUGAUGCAGCAUCUUCAUGCAGAUUUCAACGGAACUAUCAAGACCAUCAUGCAGUUCCAGUGGUAUAAAUUAAUAAUUAUUAAUAGUUAGCGUCUCAACAAAAGAAGUACUAUUUCAAUGAUAGCCUAAUUUUUUACUAAAUCAAUUUCAAGGGUGUUAGUUUUUAAAAAUACACUUUGGGUAACUUUACAUCCUCUAAAGUUGAUUAAAAAAAAGUGAAGUGCUACAAAUGUGGCAUCUUUUCAUAUGCUCUUGUUUACUAAACUGAAAUGUUUAGGUGGAAACAAUACCAUCAGAUGUCGAUUUAUAUGCUUUGCGGGGUGGUGAUGUUGUCUGUUGGUUAUGAGGUGAAGAAAGGGGAUAGUGUACCUUAUCAACCAUUGGAAUAGUAAGGCUCAAGUUUGAUAAGUUUAAACCAGAAAUUGAUGGUUUCAUCACAUCGUUGCAUUCAUCCAGAAAGCUCCUUUGUUUCCAGCUUUGCAGAAACACAAGCGAGACAAAGAAUUUGUUUGGCUCAAGAAUCUGCGUGUGUGCAGAUGAAGAUCUUUGCUUCUAUUUAGUUAAGUUGUUUCAUUUUCAAGGUGAAUGAAACCAAAAGUACAAAGUACAGAAUCAUGCUUAAUCUUCACAUUGAUGGUGAUACAGAGUUCAUCCAUGAUCUAGCUUACUCAUAUUUGGUGCGACUAGACACACAUAAGUGGACUGGUAAAUGGUUCAAGCUAAACAGGGCAUAACUUCCAUUACAUUUGAAGUUAAGUUAUACGGGAGAUGAGUAAUGCACAUAGACGUCUCAACAAGCCACAUGCUUGGACAAAUGCUAUAGGUGGGUUUUCGCGACUGUCAGCACCCAAUUUGGACAUCUAGAGCUCCAAUUUCGAA